AUUGAACGCUGGCGGCAGGCCUAACACAUGCAAGUCGAACGGUAACAGGAAGAAGCUUGCUUCUUUGCUGACGAGUGGCGGACGGGUGAGUAAUGUCUGGGAAACUGCCUGAUGGAGGGGGAUAACUACUGGAAACGGUAGCUAAUACCGCAUAACGUCGCAAGACCAAAGAGGGGGACCUUCGGGCCUCUUGCCAUCGGAUGUUCCCAGAUGGGAUUAGCUAGUAGGUGGGGUAACGGCUCACCUAGGCGACGAUCCCUAGCUGGUCUGAGAGGAUGACCAGCCACACUGGAACUGAGACACGGUCCAGACUCCUACGGGAGGCAGCAGUGGGGAAUAUUGCACAAUGGGCGCAAGCCUGAUGCAGCCAUGCCGCGUGUAUGAAGAGGGCCUUCGGGUUGUAAAGUACUUUCAGCGGGGAGGAAGGGAGUAAAGUUAAUACCUUUGCUCAUUGACGUUACCCGCAGAAGAAGCACCGGCUAACUCCGUG
rnacentral:rRNA from 1 species